GUGGGGAAUUUUGGACAAUGGGCGAAAGCCUGAUCCAGCAAUGCCGCGUGUGUGAAGAAGGCCUUCGGGUUGUAAAGCACUUUUGGCAGGGAAGAAACAGUGCAUGCUAAUACCAUGCGCGAAUGACGGUACCUGCAGAAUAAGCACCGGCUAACUACGUGCCAGCAGCCGCGGUAAUACGUAGGGUGCAAGCGUUAAUCGGAAUUACUGGGCGUAAAGCGUGCGCAGGCGGCUUUGUAAGACGGAUGUGAAAGCCCCGGGCUCAACCUGGGAAGUGCAUUCGUGACUGCAAGGCUAGAGUGUGUCAGAGGGAGGUGGAAUUCCGCGUGUAGCAGUGAAAUGCGUAGAGAUGCGGAGGAACACCGAUGGCGAAGGCAGCCUCCUGGGAUAACACUGACGCUCAGGCACGAAAGCGUGGGGAGCAAACAGGAUUAGAAACCCUGGUAGUCC
rnacentral:rRNA from 1 species